AGGAGCCUGGCAGGGACCGGGUGCUUUCUACUGCGCAUGCCUCCCAGAUCUGAUCUAUGUGUACACUUCUAAUGAGUAGCUGAUCAGACUGCAUUGCACAUUCAAUUAGCUUAAUAAAUAGCCUUCAUUUCACUUCUGCGUACAGAGGGAACUGGGGCUGUGUGAGUAAACUAUACAUGUAUGUUUUAAACAUAUAGAUAGAUAUAUAAACAUAUAUGUGCAUAUUAAAUAGGAGAGAGAGGGAGAUAGCUCUGUACACAUGUGUGCCUAUAUAUAGUGACUGCCUAUAGACAGAGAAUACCAGUGUUCUUAGAAUGUCUGUGUUUCUGUAUCAUUCUGUGUGAAUAGAAUUCCGGAGAAGUCAUGUAGUUACAAUGUGACAGGUUUUCAGUGACUUUGUCUCCUUGAGUUGGACCCUCUUGUCCCUGUGCCUCGUGUGAGCUUUUUUUUCUUUGUCCUGUGACCUUGGGCAAGCUGUACAGCUGAUCUGCUAUGUCUGUCAUAGAAAUAUGUAGGACACGUGUGAGUGACACCAACGAACAGCCAAGAGAAAGUACCAUGUCCUUCAAACGACCUUCACUCCAAGAACGCCUUCUUGCAGCCAAUCCAAGUACUCCCUGCUGGAGGAAACAGCGUUAGCAGGAUCGGUGCACUUCUAAGAAAAUCACAUAAAUUCAAUCGAGCGUUACACAUAUAUUUUUUUUAUUAAAAUACCACUAUAUGUCUUAAUUGUAUUUUACUUCUUGUGUCUUAUAUGUAAUUGUUUUGAUAUGGUUUUACAGUAUUGUAUACACAACCCGUUAUUAGAACACUACCUGCUAAGUGACAGUUUUUUUAAAGGAUAGACUGUCUUUCAGUUCCAUGUCGUCUCUGCCUCAGUGUAACUCUUUUCCAGGAGCUCACAAUGUUUGUUCUAUGAGAAUCACAGAGAUUCUACGCAAUAUAACUAAGAUAAUGUAAAUGUGUGCCUAGCAUGAGCAAAAAAU